rnacentral:rRNA from 1 species
UAAGGAAUAUUGGACAAUGGAGGCAACUCUGAUCCAGCCAUGCCGCGUGAAGGAAUAAGGCCCUAUGGGUUGUAAACUUCUUUUAGACGGGACAAAACCCCUUUACGUGUAAAGGGUUGAUGGUACUGUCAGAAUAAGCAUCGGCUAACUUCGUGCCAGCAGCCGCGGUAAUACGUAGGGUGCGAGCGUUAAUCGGAAUUACUAGGCGUAAAGCGUGCGCAGGCGGUUUUGUAAGACAGAUGUGAAAUCCCCGGGCUUAACCUGGGAACUGCGUUUGUGACUGCAAGGUUUGAGUACGGCAGAGGGGGGUGGAAUUCCACGUGUAGCAGUGAAAUGCGUAGAGAUGUGGAGGAACACCGAUGGCGAAGGCAGCCCCCUGGGCCUGUACUGACGCUCAUGCACGAAAGCGUGGGGAGCAAACA